rnacentral:rRNA from 1 species
GACGAACGCUGGCGGCGUGCUUAACACAUGCAAGUCGAACGAAGUGGCGAACGGGUGAGUAACGCGUAAUCAACCUGCCCUUCAGAGGGGGACAACAGUUGGAAACGACUGCUAAUACCCCAUACUGAAGGGGGGGAAGGCGGCUGAUGAGCUAGUCGGGGGGGUAACGGCCUACCAAGGCGAUGAUCAGUAGCCGGGCUGGGAGGAUGAACGGCCACAUUGGGACUGAGAAACGGCCCAGACUCCUACGGGAGGCAGCAGGGGGGAAUCUUCCGCAAUGGACGAAAGGCUGACGGAGCAACGCCGCGUGAGUGAUGACGGCCUUCGGGUUGGAAAGCUCUGUUAAUCGGGACGCGGUACCGGAAUAGAAAGCCACGGCUAACUACGUGCCAGCAGCCGCGGUAAUAC